GACGAACGCUGGCGGUGUGCUUAACACAUGCAAGUCGAACGGAAAGGCCCUGCUUUUGUGGGGUGCUCGAGUGGCGAACGGGUGAGUAACACGUGAGUAACCUGCCCUUGACUUUGGGAUAACUUCAGGAAACUGGGGCUAAUACCGGAUAGGAGCUCCUGCUGCAUGGUGGGGGUUGGAAAGUUUCGGCGGUUGGGGAUGGACUCGCGGCUUAUCAGCUUGUUGGUGGGGUAGUGGCUUACCAAGGCUUUGACGGGUAGCCGGCCUGAGAGGGUGACCGGCAACAUUGGGACUGAGAUACGGCCCAGACUCCUACGGGAGGCAGCAGUGGGGAAUAUUGCACAAUGGGCGGAAGCCUGAUGCAGCAACGCCGCGUGCGGGAUGACGGCCUUCGGGUUGUAAACCGCUUUCGCCUGUGACGAAGCGUGAGUGACGGUAAUGGGUAAAGAAGCACCGGCUAACUACGUG
rnacentral:rRNA from 1 species